rnacentral:rRNA from 1 species
UACGGGGGGGGCAAGCGUUGUUCGGAAUUACUGGGCGUAAAGGGCUCGUAGGCGGCCAACUAAGUCAGACGUGAAAUCCCUCGGCUUAACCGGGGAACUGCAUCUGAUACUGGAUGGCUUGAGUUCGGGAGAGGGAUGCGGAAUUCCAGGUGUAGCGGUGAAAUGCGUAGAUAUCUGGAGGAACACCGGUGGCGAAGGCGGCAUCCUGGACCGACACUGACGCUGAGACGCGAAGGCGUGGGGAGCGAACGGG